GAGGAUUUGGCUCAGUGGUAGAGUGCUUGCCUAACAUGCAUGAAGCCCUGGGUUCGAUUCCUCAUUUCCACA
rfam:Dipodomys ordii contig_5883, whole genome shotgun sequence.